GGGCGGACUCACCGCAGGAAGCGCACGGUGGAGGGGGAUGCUGAAUGCUCCGAGGUCAGACCCAGGAAAGUCGAAGCUGUGUAAGCAUCUUGCCCUGGAAACAGUGCGCUCAGAGAAAGGAGGCUCCCCCAGAAUCCUGACUGGCCUCAUACGGAG